rnacentral:rRNA from 1 species
AGAGUUUGAUCCUGGCUCAGAUUGAACGCUGGCGGCAUGCCUUACACAUGCAAGUCGAACGGCAGCACGGGAGCAAUCCUGGUGGCGAGUGGCGAACGGGUGAGUAAUAUAUCGGAACGUGCCCAGUCGUGGGGGAUAACGCAGCGAAAGCUGUGCUAAUACCGCAUACGAUCUCUGGAUGAAAGCGGGGGACUCGCAAGGGCCUCGCGCGAUUGGAGCGGCCGAUAUCAGAUUAGCUAGUUGGUGGGGUAAAAGCCCACCAAGGCGACGAUCUGUAGCUGGUCUGAGAGGACGACCAGCCACACUGGAACGGAGACACGGUCCAGACUCCUACGGGAGGCAGCAGUGGGGAAUUUUGGACAAUGGGCGCAAGCCUGAUCCAGCAAUGCCGCGUGCAGGAUGAAGGCCUUCGGGUUGU